rnacentral:rRNA from 1 species
UACGUAGGGGGCGAGCGUUUGUCCGGAAUCAUUGGGCGUAAAGCGCGUGUAGGCGGUCCGAUAAGUUCGCUGUGAAAGUCGGGGGCUUAACCCUCGGAUGCCGGUGAAUACUGUCGGGCUUGAGUACGGAAGAGGCGAGUGGAAUUCCUGGUGUAGCGGUGGAAUGCGUAGAGAUCCGGAAGAACACCGGUGGCGAAGGCGGUCUGCUGGGGUGAGGCUGACGCUGAUGCGCGACAGCGUGGGGAGCAAACAGG